UAAUGCACCUGGGAAAGCAGCAGAAGAUGGCCCAAGUACGUGGAGUCACUGCCACUGAUCUGGGAGAGACCAAGAUGAAGUUGCCGGUUCCUAGCUUUGACCUAAACCAGCCCCAGUCAUUGUCACAGCCAUUUGGAAAACAGUAGAAGAUGGCCCAAGUCCUUGGGCCCCUACACCUGCAUGGGAGACCUGGAAGAUACUCCUUGCUCCUGGCUUCAGAUCGGCACAGCUCCAGCCAUUGUGGCCAUCUGGGGAAUGAACCAAUGGAUGGAAGACCUCUCUCUUUCUCUCUCUGCCUCUCUGUAACUCUGCCUUUCAAACAAAUAAAUAUCAAAAAAAAAAAAAA